GGGCUGCUAGCUCAGGUGGUUAGAGCGCACGCCUGAUAAGCGUGAGGUCGGUGGUUCGAGUCCACUGCGGCCCA
rnacentral:tRNA from 1 species